UACGGAGGAUGCAAGCGUUAUCCGGAUUUAUUGGGUUUAAAGGGUGCGUAGGCGGGUCUUUAAGUCAGUGGUGAAAUCCUGCAGCUUAACUGUAGAACUGCCAUUGAAACUGAAGAUCUUGAAUUUAGUUGAGGUAGGCGGAAUGAGUAGUGUAGCGGUGAAAUGCUUAGAUAUUACUCAGAACACCGAUUGCGAAGGCAGCUUACUAAACUAACAUUGACGCUGAGGCACGAAAGCGUGGGUAGCGAACAGG
rnacentral:rRNA from 1 species